rnacentral:rRNA from 1 species
UGGUGGAGUGAUUUGUCUGGUUAAUUCCGUUAACGAACGAGACCUCAGCCUGCUAAAUAGUUGGAUCAAUUUAUAUCUAAAUUGAUAACUAACUUCUUAGAGGGACCAUUGGUUUUUAGCCAAAGGAAGUAUGAGGCAAUAACA